GAAGGCGGCGGCGAGCCCUGGAGCCCCCGCCCGCUCCCUCUCCCUACGUGUGCGCUAGGCUUUCGUUACUCUGGCAACUGGUCCCGCUCAGACGGCAGCAGGCAGCUGAAUCCAGCCCCUUGUUGCGGGGGAAAAUGCUCUCAUUGAAGCGCCCGAGCGGAGCUUCUGCCUUUUAUUGCAACCGGCGCCACCGGCUUCCAUUUGUAAACUUAUUAGUGUGCGCGCGCGGGGAGAGGGCCGGGGAAUCCGGGCCGCCGCGCCGGGGGACGGCAGGGGCGACGGCAGCCGCAUGCUAAUCAGCCGGGCGAGCUGAGCCGAGGGGCGGGCGGGGCCUCCUGGCCCCAAGCGCCCCCGCCCCAGCGUUGACCUUGGCCUGGCCUGCUUUGAUUCCCCGACUUGGCGGUAGGAGGGGGAUCGAUGCGCACGGAUGGAAAGGGCCUUAGGAUUCAGAAAGCAGACAGGUGUCUCCUGGGGGAAGGAACCCUGUCCCGCAUAGGGACCAGGCCGGUCUCCGCCCUGCCCUGAGGUUGCCCUAGCCCGGGUCCCGAGGCUUCCUGCAGCCACAGUCAGCCGGCGCCUGCCCAGCCGGCCAGGGGAGACCGCCUGCGCCCGGAAUGAUAAUGCGCCCGCUCGCCCGCGCCUCAUUUGUAAAGGGCAGCGGCCUGGCUGCCGUAGCAGGGAGACUGUCACACACACAUCAGAGGCAGUGACGCUGGGGCGGCGUGGGAGGACUGACUGCGGAAUCCACGUCAUCCAGCCCCGGAGGAGCGCUGGGCUCCUCUCCUGCCUGCGGGCACCCGGGCAGCCACCAAGCAAGGCUUUGCCUGCCGCGUCCAGCAGCUGCUGACCUCAUUAGGGCUCCGAUCAUGGAGGCGCAGGCCGUUAAAGGUCCAUAAGAACCAGAGCUAAGUGGCUGCAAAGAUAUUGACAGCCUCCCUGGAAACUCACUUUCCAAUGAGCUGCUGCAUCCCUCCUCCUUUAAUUAGCAGGAGGGAGCUGGACAAGUUGUUACAACUGCAGGGAAAAACGAUAAAAGAUGGCUUUGUAUUAGUGUGGCAAAUUUUAUUAAAC
ensembl:lncRNA